UACUUGGUUGAUCCUGCCAGUAGCAUAUGCUUGUCUCAAAGCUUAAGCCAUGCAUGUCUAAGUACACAUGGGUGGUACAGUGAAACUACGAAUGACUCAUUAAAUCAGUGCUUCCAGUUUUUCUGUGUCCCUCCUUCCCAAUUCCUUGGCCCUUUCUGUCUCCAGGUGCGUCUGGUUGUUCUCCUGCUGGAUGUGGAAAGGGGCGAAAAGAGGGAAAAAUGGGGGGGAAAUGGGGUGGGAUGAGGGGGAAAUGGCGGGAAAGUGGGAUUUGGGUGGGAGAAAACGGAGGAUUCUGAGGGAAAAGUGGGGGGAAAUGGCGGGAAAAUGGGAUUUGGGUGGGAGAAAAUGGACAGUUCUGAGGGAAAAGAGGGGGGGAAUGGCGGGGAAAAAGGGGUGGGGGA
rnacentral:ncRNA from 1 species